GUUGGGAAAUGAUGAUAACCUAUUCCACUGAGGGUAGAUAAAUGUUAUCCACCUCUGGAUUAUACCUUGCACGUCAGUCUGAUCCCAUU
rfam:Zea mays cultivar B73 chromosome 1, whole genome shotgun sequence.